GACGAACGCUGGCGGCGUGCUUAACACAUGCAAGUCGAACGGUGAAGGGGCCUGCUUUUGUGGGCCCUGGAUGAGUGGCGAACGGGUGAGUAACACGUGAGUAACCUGCCCCCUUCUUCUGGAUAACCGCAUGAAAGUGUGGCUAAUACGGGAUAUUCUGGGUCUGUCGCAUGAUGGGUCUGGGAAAGAUUGCGCCUUUGGGUGUUUUUGGUGGGGGAUGGGCUCGCGGCCUAUCAGCUUGUUGGUGGGGUGAUGGCCUACCAAGGCGGUGACGGGUAGCCGGCCUGAGAGGGUGGACGGUCACACUGGGACUGAGACACGGCCCAGACUCCUACGGGAGGCAGCAGUGGGGAAUAUUGCACAAUGGGCGCAAGCCUGAUGCAGCGACGCCGCGUGAGGGAUGGAGGCCUUCGGGGUGUAAACCUCUUUCGCCAGUGAAGCAGGCCUGCUCCUUGUGGGUGGGUUGACGGUAGCUGGAUAAGAAGCGCCGGCUAACUACGUG
rnacentral:rRNA from 1 species